GUACCAAAUAAAGUUGUACUUUUAAUUUUGAUUGAUAAACACACUUGUGAUUAAUAUUACGUAAAUAAUUCUCGGUUGCGCAUACCUAAUAUUAGGCUGGAUACAUUAUUCUAUUUUAAAAUAAAUGAGAUAAGCUGUCCAAUUAUUACAAAAAAAAAAAAUGUCUUAUCUUUAUUACAGAACACACGAAGCUCGCCUUUUCACGUUGUAACUAAAUGAAUAUUAUGAUAUAUUUUGUGUUGUCAAUAUUGUAGUUACAAGCGAAAUAUUAGGUAUUUAAUUUUAAAUUUGUAUAAGAUAAUACAAAACGUACCUAACGUAAGUAUUUACAUUUGUUUAAAUGAAGAUUGGACUAUUAUAUUAUUAGAAUAUGUGCUAUAGAGUAUAAAUGACAUUGGUUUUAGAAAGACUAUGUAUAUUAUAAUAAAUAAUAAUAUAUUAAAAUCUAUUUAUAAACGAUUUCACAAUCAGUAAUUUGUUACUUUGUUUCAUUAGAGAUAGUAAUUCUAAAUCACUUCGUUACGGAUUAAAAUAGUUUACGUGAAACGCCACGAAACUUUUGCACGCGAAAAAACGCCUCGAUCUAUAGACUUAAUGCAGAAAUCAAUCAUAGAAAAGGAGAACUGGCACUGUGCAUCUUUUAAAAGUUAUUCGACAUUUGGUUACUUUACUAUGAAUUAAGUUAACUUGAUAAGUCCAUAGCCCCAGUAGUUUUUGACUGCGCGAAAUUGUUUAUUAUAAAUUGGUAAACAUUUUUGUUAAUUUUACUAUUACAUAAUAAAUAAUUGUGACAGUGGCACUGGACUACUUGUAAAUGUACUCGAAAGUUAACCUGAAUACUUCUGAGUUGAUCGAAUUUUAAUUUUUCAAAAAUGUUGAGAAAAUAUCCUUUAUGCAACCUUUUAUAAAUCGAAAGUAGCACGUCCCCUUAAACUUAAAAGUAAGAACAUUAUUUGAGUUUCUAUGUGGAGUUUUUUAAUAUUUCAAUUUUUAACAGAUAUAUACUUAAUUAUUCUAUGAAGUAUCACAGUUUAAAAACUGCUCAUGUUUUGCUUGAAAAUUAAAUCGCUAACAAUGUUCUUAAGAAAACUAUACGUGUUACCGCC